UUCUGCCUGCACCUUGUAAUUGUUGGGCCCACCAGGAUCUAGUCUGUCUCUGCCUUGUUGACAACAAUUAGCCCCACGUACUGAUUGUUGCUCGUUUGUUCAGUCCAGAAUCUGGCCUCACAAAUGCAAUGAGCCUUGGUAAAUGCAUCACUGUUGCCAUAGUGGCAUGCCAGGCCCCUUCCAAGGUCGUCGGUCAGGUCAAAGUUGGCACGCAGUGCUGCGUGCCUCUAGCCGACAAGUCUGUCGGGUGCUCCUUCAAAGCACAGAGUGUGUCGAGGAGCGUGCAGACUACAGAGGCUGUGGAUGAGUCGAGCUCGACCUCAGCAUCAAGGCCUUCUAUUUCUCCUUCAAAGGCCAAGGGUGGCAAC
rnacentral:lncRNA from 1 species